UACGAGGGGUCCAAGCGUUGUUCGGAAUUAUUGGGCGUAAAGGGCCAGUAGGCGGCCAACUAAGUCCGACGUGAAAUCCCCGGGCUUAACCUGGGAAUGGCGUCUGAAACUACGGAGCUGGAGUGCGGCAGAGGGAGGUAGAAUUCCACGUGUAGCGGUGAAAUGCGUAGAUAUGUGGAGGAAUACCGAUGGCGAAGGCAGCCUCCUGGGCCAACACUGACGCUCAUGCACGAAAGCGUGGGGAGCAAACAGG
rnacentral:rRNA from 1 species